rnacentral:lncRNA from 1 species
GAGGGGCGGGCAAGCUGGGAGAGGAAGGAGCUCAGGGGCUGCUUCCUCCCCUGAUGUUGACUUGACUGUUGACUUGAGUGAGUUGAAACCUCCUCUGAGCAAUCUCCAUGUUGUAUGUCCUGUUUGUCCCCACUACUGCUGUCCCUCUUCAGAAACUCAUCACUUCUUAUCAGGAAAUGUGUAAAAUGAGAAAAAGAAAGAGAGGAUGGAGGCCAGAGCAGAAGCCAGUGGAGCCUGAGAAGGAGCUGCAGUGGAGCAGAAGUAAGCCUCAGGUUGAGAUGAUGACAUUACAAGAUGAAAAUAGCAUGGAUCACUGGAAGCAAGCUGCCUGGGGGAGCCACUUGACCUGCAGUGGACGUUGCAUGAGAAAGAAAUGUACUUUUAAGUGAUCGGCCACUGACGUUCAGAUGAAGAGGAUAAAUGGGUCCAGAAAUAGGAAUUGUAUGAUGCUGGUGUACGAUCUAUUGAUGCUGGACGUGGAGGAGAACCAAGAGUCAAGACAUGGAUUGAAAACGAAAAGCUGAAAAAGCUCACAAGAAGACAACAGGGGCCAGCUCCAAGGCUCAGUGUGUCUAGAGAAGAGGUGAAGUCCUCAGUGGCAGCCUGUUUCUUUUCGGUAAUAAUCUCCCUAGGUGCUGUAAUAGAGAGAAGGAAAUGAAACUGAGAAGGGGUAGAGAAAUUCUGCAGUGGUAACAGGUUUGUGUGCAACAUACGUAUCCUUCAUUUAGGAAGAAACCCUCGGAAUUAGGUGGAGCUGAUAUAAAAUAAGACCUGUGAACUCAAGAGGCCCACAGAAGGUGAACAUUUCCUUAGGGUUGAUAAUGGCCUGAGUAUAUUCACUCUGUGGUCAGGGGCAUGGAAGAGUUGGGCUGCUUAUUGUGUUCUUACUACGUGGACCAGAACAGAGUGGUUUGAGCCCCCUGAUCAGAAGAUAAAGAAAAGAGAAAACUUCAGCUGCUUUAUGUAAACCCAAUCUGGUACUCUCUGGCACAAAAU